rnacentral:rRNA from 1 species
GAAAGUAAGUAAGGGCGUAUGGGGGAUGCCUAGGCUCUUGGAGGCUAAGAAGGACGUGGUAAGCUGCGAAAAGCUGCGGGGAUUUGCAAACGAGACUCGAUCCGCAGAUAUCCGAAUGGGACAACCCGGCAGGUAGAAGACCUGUCACACCGCGAGGUGAGCUAACCCUCUGAACUGAAACAUCUAAGUAGGAGGAGGAAAAGAAAGAAACAUCGAUUUCCAAAGUAGCGGCGAGCGAAAUGGAAGAAGCCCAAACCGAUAUUGUUACGGCAAUAUCGGGGUUGUAGGACUGCAAUAUUCAAUUAACAAUGAACUGGAAUGGUCUGGAAAGUCCAUCCAUAGAGAGUGAAAGGCUCGUACAGGUAAGUUUGUUAUGCGAAAGCAGUAUCCUGAGUAUGGCGGGACACGAGGAAUCCUGUCAGAAUCAGCCGGGACCACCCGGUAAGGCUAAAUACUCCCAAGAGACCGAUAGUGGACCAGUACUGUGAAGGAAAGGUGAAAAGAACCCCGAACAGGGGAGUGAAAUAGAACCUGAAACCAUACGCUUACAACCGGUCGGAGCAGCUUCGUGCUGUGACGGCGUGCCUAUUGAAUAAUGAGCCUACGAGUUACUAAUCACUAGCGAGGUUAAGUGCAAGGAUGCACGGAGCCGAAGCGAAAGCGAGUCUGAACAGGGCGUUUAGUUAGUGGUUGUAGACGCGAAACCUUGCGAUCUACCCUUGAGCAGGUUGAAGGUUGGGUAAAACCAACUGGAGGACCGAACGAAUAAGCGUUGAAAAGCUUCUCGAUGACUUGAGGGUAGGGGUGAAAGGCUAAUCAAGCUGGGAAAUAGCUCGUACUCCCCGAAAUGCCUUUUGGGGCAGCGUUGUAAUAAAGAGUCUACUGGAGGUAGAGCUACUGAUUGGAUGCGGGGGCUUCACCGCCUACCAAAUCCUGACAAACUCCGAAUGCCAGUAGUAUGAUUUACAGCAGUGAGUGACUGGGUGCUAAUGUCCAGUCGCAAAAGAGGAACAACUCAGACCAGCAACUAAGGUCCCGAAGAAUAUGCUAAGUUGAUCUAACGAUGUUUUGUUGCAGAGACAGCUAGGAUGUUAGCUUGGAAGCAGCUAUUCAUUCAAAGAGUGCGUAACAGCUCACUAGUCGAGCGACAGAGCGUGGAUAAUAAACGGGCAUCAAGCAUAUCACCGAAGUUCUGGGCGCGAGAGCGCGGUAGGGGAGCAUUCCAUUCAGCGUCGAAGCAGUUUCGUGAGGAAUUGUGGAGCGUAUGGAAAAGCAAAUGUAGGCAUGAGUAACGAUAAUGCGGGAGAGUAACCCGCACACCGCAAGACCAAGGUUUCCUGAUCAACGCUAAUCGGAUCAGGGUUAGUCGGGUCCUAAGGGUAAGCCGAACGGCGAUCUCGAUGGAUAAUCGGUUAAUAUUCCGAUACUAACAUAUACCUCGAUGGAGAGACGAAGGAACGUAAGUGCCGCCACCUGACGGAAUAGGUGGUUAAAGGGCGUAGGUAUAGGGGCAGAUUAAGAGUUAGUCCUUGCUGAAACCUGACAGUACAGAGAGCCUACGGGCAAUUUGAUAGAGCACCCAAGUCGACUUCCGAGAAAAUCUUCUAAGUUAUAGUAUAUGUUACCCGUACCGUAAACCGACACAGGUGGUCGAGGAGAGUAUCCUAAGGUGCUCGAGUGAAUCACGGUUAAGGAACUAGGCAAAUUAACCCCGUAACUUCGGGAAAAGGGGUCCCUAUGAAAGUAGGGCGCAGCGAAGAGGUCCAGGCGACUGUUUAUCAAAAACACAGGGCUCUGCAAAUUCGAAAGAAGACGUAUAGGGCCUGACACCUGCCCGGUGCUGGAAGGUUAAGAGGGGAUGUCAUCGCAAGAGAAGCAUUGAAUCGAAGCCCCAGUAAACGGCGGCCGUAACUAUAACGGUCCUAAGGUAGCGAAAUUCCUUGUC